CAGUCGAACGAGUUCUCGUUGAUGAUCGGUGCUUGCACUGAGAUUCAACAUGGAACGAGUGGCGGACGGGUGAGUAACACGUGGGUAACCUGCCCUUAAGUGGGGGAUAACAUUUGGAAACAGAUGCUAAUACCGCAUAGAUCCAAGAACCGCAUGGUUCUUGGCUGAAAGAUGGCGUAAGCUAUCGCUUUUGGAUGGACCCGCGGCGUAUUAGCUAGUUGGUGAGGUAAUGGCUCACCAAGGCGAUGAUACGUAGCCGAACUGAGAGGUUGAUCGGCCACAUUGGGACUGAGACACGGCCCAAACUCCUACGGGAGGCAGCAGUAGGGAAUCUUCCACAAUGGACGCAAGUCUGAUGGAGCAACGCCGCGUGAGUGAAGAAGGCUUUCGGGUCGUAAAACUCUGUUGUUGGAGAAGAAUGGUCGGCAGAGUAACUGUUGUCGGCGUGACGGUAUCCAACCAGAAAGCCACGGCUAACUACGUGCCAGCAGCCGCGGUAAUACGUAGGUGGCAAGCGUUAUCCGGAUUUAUUGGGCGUAAAGCGAGCGCAGGCGGUUUUUUAAGUCUGAUGUGAAAGCCCUCGGCUUAACCGAGGAAGCGCAUCGGAAACUGGGAAACUUGAGUGCAGAAGAGGACAGUGGAACUCCAUGUGUAGCGGUGAAAUGCGUAGAUAUAUGGAAGAACACCAGUGGCGAAGGCGGCUGUCUGGUCUGUAACUGACGCUGAGGCUCGAAAGCAUGGGUAGCGAACAGGAUUAGAUACCCUGGUAGUCCAUGCCGUAAACGAUGAAUGCUAGGUGUUGGAGGGUUUCCGCCCUUCAGUGC
rnacentral:rRNA from 1 species